CUUGUUGGUGAGGUAAUGGCUCACCAAGGCGACGACGGGUAGCCGGCCUGAGAGGGCGACCGGCCACACUGGGACUGAGACACGGCCCAGACUCCUACGGGAGGCAGCAGUGGGGAAUAUUGCACAAUGGGCGAAAGCCUGAUGCAGCGACGCCGCGUGAGGGAUGACGGCCUUCGGGUUGUAAACCUCUUUCAGCAGGGAAGAAGCGAAAGUGACGGUACCUGCAGAAGAAGCGCCGGCUAACUACGUGCCAGCAGCCGCGGUAAUACGUAGGGCGCGAGCGUUGUCCGGAAUUAUUGGGCGUAAAGAGCUCGUAGGCGGCUUGUCACGUCGGUUGUGAAAGCCCGGGGCUUAACCCCGGGUCUGCAGUCGAUACGGGCAGGCUAGAGUUCGGUAGGGGAGAUCGGAAUUCCUGGUGUAGCGGUGAAAUGCGCAGAUAUCAGGAGGAACACCGGUGGCGAAGGCGGAUCUCUGGGCCGAUACUGACGCUGAGGAGCGAAAGCGUGGGGAGCGAACAGGAUUAGAUACCCUGGUAGUCCACGCCGUAAACGGUGGGCACUAGGUGUGGGCGACAUUCCACGUCGUCCGUGCCGCAGCUAACGCAUUAAGUGCCCCGCCUGGGGGAGUACGGA
rnacentral:rRNA from 1 species